AGCGAACGCUGGCGGCAGGCCUAACACAUGCAAGUCGAACGAACCUUUCGGGGUUAGUGGCGGACGGGUGAGUAACACGUGGGAACGUGCCUUUAGGUUCGGAAUAACUCAGGGAAACUUGUGCUAAUACAGAAUGUGCCCUUCGGGGGACAGAUUUAUCGCCUUUAGAGCGGCCCGCGUCUGAUUAGCUAGUUGGUUGAGGUAAUGGCUCACCAAGGCGACGAACAGUAGCUGGUCUGAGAGGAUGAUCAGCCACAUUGGGACUGAGACACAGCCCAAACUCCUACGGGAGGCAGCAGUGGGGAAUCUUGCGCAAUGGGCGAAAGCCUGACGCAGCCAUGCCGCGUGAAUGAUGAAGGUCUUAGGAUUGUAAAAUUCUUUCACCGGGGACGAUAAUGACGGUACCCGGAGAAGAAGCCCCGGCUAACUUCGUG
rnacentral:rRNA from 1 species